GACGAAGAACGUAGCGAAAUGCGAUAAGUAGUGUGAAUUGCAGAAUUCAGUGAAUCAUCGAAUCUUUGAACGCACAUUGCGCCCUUUGGUAUUCCUUAGGGCAUGCCUGUUCGAGCGUCAUUUAAACCUUCAAGCUCAGCUUGGUGUUGGGUGACUGUCCGCCGCCUCCGGGCGCGUGGACUCGCCUCAAAAUUAUUGGCGGCCGGUACAUUGGCUUCGAGCGCAGCAGAAACGCGAACUCGGGCCCGUCGUAUUGGCUCCCAGAAGCUAUCUUCACAAUUUUGACCUCGGAUCAGGUAGGGAUACCCGCUGAACUUAAGCAUAUCAAUAAGCGGAGGA
rnacentral:misc_RNA from 1 species